rnacentral:rRNA from 1 species
AUUGAACGCUAGCGGGAUGCCUAACACAUGCAAGUCGAACGGAGUGGCGAACGGGUAAGUAAUGUAUCGGAACGUACCAAGUACCGGUGGAUAACUACGAGAAAGCGUAGCGAAUACCACAUACUCUUGCAACGGCCGCUUCCGGAUUGGCUAGUGGGUGGGGGAAGGGCUCACCAAGGCAACGAUCCGUAGCUGUUGUGAGAGGACGACCAGCCACACUGGGACUGAGACACGGCCCAGACUCCUACGGGAGGCAGCAGUGGGGAAUGUUGGACAAUGGGGGAAACCCUUAUCCAGCCAUCCCGCGUGUGUGAUGAAGGCCUUCGGGUUGUAAAGUACUUUUGGCAGGAAAGCGGUACCGGAAGAAGAAGCACCGGCUAACUACGUGCCAGCAGCCGCGGUAAUUC